rnacentral:rRNA from 1 species
CGAGCAUCUUUGUGGUCAAGUUGUCAAGGGCGAACGGUGGAUGCCUUGGCACCAGGAGCCGAUGAAGGACGUGGGAGGCCGCGAUAGGCCUGGGGGAGCUGUCAACCAAGCUGUGAUCCCAGGGUGU